ACAGCAUUGCUCUUCCCUCAUGCUCUGGGUUAAGAGGCACAAGGGAGGAGGUGAAGUGCCAGAUGGUCGUGGAGCGGAGAGAGAGAGAAAAAUGGAUGGUGGAGGGAGAAAGCUGGAGGGCAAGGAUGAAGAAGGCAGCAGCUGAAUGGAGGUGAAGAGCUGUGGAGAAAACAGAGCUGAAGAUGCACUUAAACCAGCACAACUGCAAGUGGGUCUCUAUGUAGGCAGAAUUCCUCCGGCUAUUCCAUCUUAUCUGUGGGGUCUCCCUGCUGAUCUCAUUCCCAGUAUUUAACCUUGCGUGCCUAAAUAGAUGAGCCUCUAUUUGCUAUAAUUACAUGUAUCACUCUUGAUUUAUUAGCUAAAUAUUUGUUUAAAGAAAGCUAU